UGCCUGUGGUAGGGGGGUUGGAGAUUCAUGAUCCUUGGGGUUCCUUCCAACCCAAGCUAUUCUGUGAUUCUGUGAUGGUGGUUAUGCUCAACUGAUGGAUGUGUAGGAACCUUGAAGUUUCUUAAGGUUUUUAGGCAUGUCCAAAACUUGGGCAGGUCACAUAAUUGCCUAGAAAUACAAAGCUCUCACUGAAGUGCUGUUAUUGUAAAUAUGCUUUUCCUGUCAUUCUUUAGCAUUAAAAUAAUGCAUAAUUGUGUUAGCCUUUAAAACUGUAAGUUGUUUCUUGAGGAAUCAUUUUGAGGUAAGCUAUGAAGACUUUGCAACUGACAAGUUUUCCAUGCAGAUAUUUGCCCUCUUUCCCAAAAUGCCUUCUUAUCUCCUCAGUAGUGUUAGAAACUUCAGCUGAUCCUCCAGCAGCAGCUGUUACAAGCUGUUACAGUUCCAGAUAAGUAACUCUUGAAGUGGUACAGCUCCAAGCUGCUCUCAUGCUCUACAGGAGUUCCAGAGGGUCUUCUGUUACUGGAAGGGCUCAUCAAGGCACUAACAAGAGCCUGGACCACGACAGCCAAGGAGACCGCCUUCCCUCCCCAUGACUUGAGGAGAGCUGACACUGAAGCGGGCUAUCAUCAGCCAGGGUUUCCAUGAGUCACACUUCAUCUAACAGCAGCCUUCACCACCGCAGUAGGAGCUUCAGACUGCAGUAAUCCCCCACCAUGGGGAAAUUAAAGACUUCUGGUGGCUUUGAGUGUCUUCAUCCUGAGGUUUCAGUGUGCUUUGGAUUGCGCCUCAUUCGUCACAUGGAACAAUUCCAGCAUUUCAAUACAAAAGAUACAAGAAAAGCUUCUUCCAAGUUUAGCUCCACACAAUCCUUUUCUGAUAUAAUCUGUUUGAUGUUAGGGUUAGCCUCAAACUCACAAAGGAUUGUGAUAAAUUACCUGCAGUUCCCACUCUGUGUCUAUGACGUACAUAUACAUGUGUGUCAUGGAAUCAUUCAAGCUGGAAAAGAUCAAGUCCAACCAUCAGCCCAUCCCCACCGCGCCCAUUAACCAUGUCCCUAAAGUGCCACAUCUACAUGUUACUUGGAACGCUUCCACCUUCACCACUUACACCUGUGCACAACUUCAACUAUAAUGGAUGGGCCUCUCAGUGUUACUGAAGCAACCAAAUAUGUUGAAGCCUAAGGUCAGUAGCAGGACAUGUGCGCAAUGACCUGCCUGGUUUAGUAUUGCAGGGAUGUCCCCAAGCCUCUGCUGUAUGAAGCUGCAUUGUGUGGAGCACUGGAACAGUCAGCCCCAAGACUUGCUCUAAAUUGCCUAAAUCUGUAUAUAGUAUGAAAAUAGUGGAAAUCUUUGAAGUUUGUUGGAUAUAUCUGAACUACAGGGGAAUUGACAGUUGGCUCUCUGAAAAUGGAUCUUUGCAGCACAGUUUGUUCAAUUCAUCAGCUCUGGAGGUAAGCGGUGCCAAAAAAAGAUGCUUUAGUGCUUCUCCAUCUUUUUGUGUGUAAAGGCCUCUGGUUCUUGCUGAACUGGGCACCUGGAGGGGCUGCUCAGGAUGAGUGGCCUUGAUGGGGCAGCUUCUCCUGCAGGAGGAAGGGGAGAAUAACUGCUGGUGAUGGGAACAGAAGACUAAAGAAUUAAAGCCUACAAACAAAUGGAACAAAUGUCCAAAGAGGCAAAAAGCUGAAACACAAACUACACAUGGGGCAGAUCUGUUUUGGAGCUGAAUGAUGUCCUCAGUAUCCUGGGAGGAUAGUUUUGGUGUGAGUGCAGUGGUAGAGCACUUGGAGAAAGACUCAGAGCUGCUGCUGCUUCUGGUGUGAAGGUAAUGGUUGUGCUCGUUCUGGAAGGUGAGGACAGCCUGCUGGCUGGUGAAUGGAGCUGCAGGAGCUGGCUUCCUCAUGCACCCAGAGUCUGUCCUGCCUCUCCUCGUGCUGCAGACCUGACUGUGGAAUCUCCUCCUCUGCAGCAAAGCCAUGAGGGCUGCUGGCAGCUGCAAGCCUCGGCAUUUGGCUUGUGAGCCCAGUGAGUAAAUUUGAGCUGGAAAUGAUUGCAAAAUCUUAAUUUGGGGAACAGAAGGUCAAGCUGGCUAUAGACCUUCAGGGUGUACCUUGGGAUGUGUGUGUGUCCUUCACCUCUGCUAGAGUGAAGGACAGUGGGGCUUCCCCAGCCUCUCUGAGGGCUCCGCUGCUCAGCAUCCUCCUUUCAUCUCUCUGCUGUAAAUUUAGGGUGGAAAUGGGGAUUCCCAGACUGACAGUUUCCUUCCAGAAAGCUGCCACAGCCCAAAGCCUGGCUUCAGCUGCCUGUGCAGUUGCCAGACCCAUCUAGUAAAUAAUUCAGCAUUCAUAAAAGCCUUUGUGUGUUCUUGACAGCAAAAUGAAUUAUGUAAACACGGAUCUGAUUCUUUUUGUCUGUUCCAGGAUGGAAACGCUCAUAGUGCCAGGGGACUCUGAAGCCAAGCACAAAUGUUGCCAGUCCAGACGUGGAACAGCUCUCCUGAAGUCAGCACUCCUUCCUGCCGUACUGCUGUGCCCAGCAUGUAUAAGGUUUGGCUGAUGAAAUCCCUGCUCAUCCUAACCAGCACUAUGGGAGCAGAUCUAAGCCUGCAAUGCACAGACCAGCUCAGAAAGACACUGUGUGGUGUGGGAAAAAGAGCAGUUUGUUUCUUAAUGUAAAGCAGAGCCCUCUGCUCACUGAUUAAUAAAUAUUUGGCCAGAACAAAACUGUA